AUCCUUUUGUAGUUCAUAAGCGUGAUGAUUGAGUUUUCACGUGCAUGUCUGAGAUGUGCCUCCUUCAAACUUUGUUACAACGCUGGCACAUUACCCAUCUGACG
rnacentral:snoRNA from 1 species